rnacentral:rRNA from 1 species
UACGUAGGUGGCAAGCGUUGUCCGGAUUUAUUGGGUUUAAAGGGUGCGUAGGCGGUCUAUUAAGUCAGUUGUGAAAUACGGCAGCUCAACUGUCGAGGUGCAAUUGAUACUGAUGGACUUGAGUACUGAUGAGGUAAGCGGAAUGGACGGUGUAGCGGUGAAAUGCGUAGAUAUCGGGAGGAACACCAGAGGCGAAAGCGGCGUAGUGGACAGUAACUGACACUCAAUUGCGAAAGCGUGGGGAGCAAACAGG